UACGUAGGGUGCAAGCGUUAAUCGGAAUUACUGGGCGUAAAGCGUGCGCAGGCGGUUUUGUAAGUCUGUCGUGAAACCCCCGGGCUCAACCUGGGAAUUGCGAUGGAGACUGCAAGGCUAGAAUCUGGCAGAGGGGGGUAGAAUUCCACGUGUAGCAGUGAAAUGCGUAGAGAUGUGGAGGAACACCGAUGGCGAAGGCAGCCCCCUGGGUCAAGAUUGACGCUCAUGCACGAAAGCGUGGGGAGCAAACAGG
rnacentral:rRNA from 1 species